rnacentral:rRNA from 1 species
GACGAACGCUGGCGGCGUGCUUAACACAUGCAAGUCGAACGCUGAAGCUUGGUGCUUGCACUGGGUGGGUGAGUGGCGAACGGGUGAGUAAUACGUGAGUAACCUGCCCUUGACUCUGGGAUCAGCCUGGGAAACUGGGUCUAAUACUGGAUACGACAUGUCACCGCAUGGUGGUGUGUGGAAAGGGUUUUACUGGUUUUGGAUGGGCUCACGGCCUAUCAGCUUGUUGGUGGGGUAAUGGCUCACCAAGGCGACGACGGGUAGCCGGCCUGAGAGGGUGACCGGCCACACUGGGACUGAGACACGGCCCAGACUCCUACGGGAGGCAGCAGUGGGGAAUAUUGCACAAUGGGCGGAAGCCUGAUGCAGCGACGCCGCGUGAGGGAUGACGGCCUUCGGGUUGUAAACCUCUUUCAGCACGGAAGAAGCGAAAGUGACGGUACGUGCAGAAGAAGCGCCGGCUAACUACGUG